ACUAUACCUAGCCCGAACCCACUUUUUCCAUUAAGUAAUUAAACAUAAUAAAAUAAAACAUUUAUUCUCAUUUAAAGUAUAGGAGAUAGAAAUUUUAAAUACGGCGCUAUAGAGAAAGUACCGCAAGGGAAUGAUGAAAGAAAAAAAUUAAAGUACAAAAAAGCAAAGAUUACCUCUUGUACCUUUUGCAUAAUGAGCUAACUAGAAAAAAACUUAACAAAACGAAUUUUAGCUAAGUUACCCGAAACCAGACGAGCUACCUACAAACAGUUUAUUAGGAACCAACUCAUCUAUGUGGCAAAAUAGUGAGAAGAUUUAUAGGUAGAGGUGACACGCCUAACGAGCCUGGUGAUAGCUGGUUGUCCAGGAAAUGAAUCUUAGUUCAGCUUUAAAGAUACCAAAAAGUCCUCAAACAAACUCCACUGUAUCUUUAAAAGUUAGUCUAAAAGGGUACAGCCUUUUAGAAAUGGAUACAACCUUAACUAGAGAGUAAGAUUUAGCAACACCAUAGUAGGCCUAAGAGCAGCCAUCAAUUAAGAAAGCGUUAAAGCUCAACAAUUAAUGCUAUAAAGAUCCCAAUAGAAAUAACUAACUCCUAGUUCCAAUACUGGACUAUUCUAUUAUAAAAUAGAAGUAAUAAUGUUAACAUGAGUAACAAGAAAUAUUUUCUCCUUGCAUAAGUUUAAGUCAGUAUCUGAUAAUACUCUGACUAUUAACAGCAAAUAAAGUAAAUUCAACAAUAAACAGUUUAUUUAUUAUACUGUUAAUCCGACACAGGAAUGCGCUCAGGAAAGAUUAAAAGAAGUAAAAGGAACUCGGCAAACACAAACCCCGCCUGUUUACCAAAAACAUCACCUCCAGCAUUUCUAGUAUUGGAGGCACUGCCUGCCCAGUGACAAUCGUUAAACGGCCGCGGUAUCCUGACCGUGCAAAGGUAGCAUAAUCAUUUGUUCCCUAAAUAGGGACUUGUAUGAAUGGCCACACGAGGGUUUUACUGUCUCUUACUUCCAAUCAGUGAAAUUGACCUUCCCGUGAAGAGGCGGGAAUAAAUAAAUAAGACGAGAAGACCCUAUGGAGCUUUAACUAACUAGUCCAAAGAAAAUAAGCCUACCACCAAGGGACAACAAAAUUCUCCAUGGACUAACAGUUUUGGUUGGGGUGACCUCGGAG
rnacentral:rRNA from 1 species